GGCCAUAUGUUUCUAUCUUUUGAAUUGAUUCCUUCAUUGCUAUAACUUCAAUGCACUCCAAUUUUCUAUGGACCAUUUGCCAAACCCUGAUUGUCUUAUCAGAAGAUCCACUUAGAAGACUUUCCCCAGGUUCAAAGAGUGAAAAACAUGUGACUGCCUUUUUGUGCUCUUUCAGGUCCCAUACAAGAGUGGCUGACUGCUGUUUGAUGUCCCACACCUUAAUCGAACCAUCAGAAUAGCCACUGAAAAGCAGUCCCAUGUAAUAGAUAAGAGCAGUUACUGCUCCACUGCUGUUGUGCUUUGCCUCCAAAAUUUGUG
rnacentral:misc_RNA from 1 species